CCGAGUUAUACAACUCCUCAACCCCUGUGAACAUACCUAUAAACGUUGCCUUCGGCGGGAUACAGCCCGCGCCCGUAAAAAGGGACGGCCCCGCCCGAGGACCCCUAACUCUGUUUUUAUAAGUGACUUUCUGAGUAAACAAGCAAAUAAAUCA
rnacentral:misc_RNA from 1 species